AGGAAGAUCACGUGAGCUUUUUUUUUUUUUUUUUUAAAGAUUUUAUUUAUUGUUAUAUGUAAGUACACUGUAGCUGUCUUUAGACACAACAGAAGAGGGCUUCGGAUCUCAUUGUGGAUGGUUGUGAGCCACCAUGUGGCUACUGGGAUUUGAACUCAGGACCUUUGGAAGAGCAGUCAGUUAGUUCUCUUACCCGCUGAGCCAUCUCACCAGCUCCAACUCUUUUCUUUUUAAAGUCAAGCAUUGGUGUAAGAACUUACCUCAAAAAGAGAGAGAGGGAGGGUAGGCUGGAGAGAUGGCUCAGAAAUGAACUAUUCGUAACUCCAGCUUCAGGCAGUUCUGCUGAAGGCAGGUCUCUGAGGGCACCUGCACUCAUAAGCACAUAUCCCACACACAGCCCAAACCCCACACACAUACAUAGAUGUACACAUACAGUGGGACGGGAAGCCUAAAAACCCAAAGCGUCACCUAAAAAGAAGUGCGCCAGUAUUGAACACAGGACACUGCGCUUAUUAGUCUCUAGAAAGAUGUCUGUUUUUAAGAUUUGUUUAUUCACUUUACGUAUAUGUGUACAUUGUGGCUGUCUUCAGACACACCAGAAGAGUGCAUCCUGUCCCAUUACAGAUGGUUCUUUGUGAUUCCUGGGAAUUGAACUCAGGACGUCUAGAAGAGCAGGCAGUGUUCUUAACUGCUGAGCCAUCUCUCCAGCCCAAAGAAAAGUUGUGUUUGUUUGUUUCAGUGGUUUAUACACCCAUCCCACCCCCUGUCCCAUUUUAGUGGGGAAGAUCUAGUACCCUGAAUGUACUAGAUAUGCAAUCAGCCAUUGUGCUGUACCUCCAGCCCCAAAGCUGUGUUCAGCAGUGCAUCAUCUCCUGACAGGGAUCUUAAAAUGAAAAUCUUUGUGUAUACUCACUCAGGAGUGGAGAGCUGUGUUUCCUUUCUAAAAGAGCCAAGCUUUUGUGAUGUGUUGGGAAUGGGGUUUGUCCAGUGAGGCACUUUCUCUAUAAAGGAUUUUUUACUUUUAUCAAAUACUGGUGUUAGGGGUCUAGAGUUAUGAACAGCUACUGAUGAUGACUGCAGACAGAUUCAACUUUAUUAAAAGCUGAUCGGGGCCUUAGGGGAUACAAAGAGAGUUAGUUUAUUUUAGACCCUUGUGAAGCUGUCUAUAAGGUAAUUUGCAUAGUAGACUUGUUGCCAUUUUCCUACUGUUCAUCAGCCAGGAAAUGCAUCUAAAAGUUGUGCCCUUCUGGGGGACUGCUACUGGCAUGGCUACACACACAGUUAGGAAGUUGUAGCCAUGCUGGGAGCUGGCCCAUGGGGAAGAUGGUAUCAGGCAGCUGCUUGUUGGUUUCAGAAUUGAACUGGUUCACAGCUUUCUUCCCAAAGAAAGUACUUGAGGUUGGAUUUGCUCUUGCAGAUUCCCAGAAGUCGCAUGGUGGCUCACCAACUCCUAUGACUCCAGUCCAGGGGAUCUGACACCCUUUUCUGAUCUCAGUGGGUACAGGCAUGUACAUGCAUGAUGCACACACAAACAUGCAGACAAAAUACCUAUAUUUUGUAUUAAAUGAAUACAGUUUUGUUUUCUUGAGACGGGGUUUCUUUGUGUAGUGCUGGCUGUCCUGAAACUCACUCUAUAUAGAUCAGGAUGGCCUCAAACUCAGAGAUCUACCUGCCUCUGCCUCUUGAGUGCUGGGGUUAAAAGUGUGGGACACUGCCCAGAUAGUUUUGUUGUUUGUUUGUUUUGUUUUGUUUUGUUGUUGUUGUUGUUUUUCACUUAAGUUGGUUUAGAUUUGAAAGAAGUUUGGGCUGGGCAGUGGUGACACAUGCCUUUAAUCCCAGCAUUUGGGAGUCAGAGGCAGGCAGAUUUCUGGGUUCGAGGCUAGCCUUGUCUACAGAGUGAGUUCCAGAACAGUCAGGGCCACACAGAGAAACUUUGUCUC
rnacentral:lncRNA from 1 species